rnacentral:rRNA from 1 species
GGUGAACGCUGGCGGCGUGCUUAAGACAUGCAAGUCGAACGGCAGUCUUCGGACUGUAGUGGCGCACGGGUGAGUAACGCGUAACUGACCUACCCCAAAGUCGCGGAUAACGAUUCGAAAGAACCGCUAAUACGUGAUGUGCUGUCAGAUUGUGUUCUGCCAGUAAAGAUUGAUUGCUUUGGGAUGGGGUUGCGUUCCAUCAGCUAGUUGGUGGGGUAAAGGCACACCAAGGCGACGACGGAUAGCCGGCCUGAGAGGGUGGCCGGCCACAGGGGCACUGAGACACGGGUCCCACUCCUACGGGAGGCAGCAGUUAGGAAUCUUCCACAAUGGGCGAAAGCCUGAUGGAGCGACGCCGCGUGAGGGAUGAAGGUCUUCGGAUCGUAAACCUCUGAAUCAGGGACGAAAGACACUUCGGUGGGAUGACGGUACCUGAGUAAUAGCACCGGCUAACUCCGUGCCAGCCGCCGCAGUAACAC